rnacentral:sRNA from 1 species
AGCAGUGCCAGCUGCACGGCACGCAGGAGGCUCUCUCCAGCCAUGUUGCUCGAGGCUGCACAGUGGGUUCUGACCGUGGAGUUUGAAGCCUCCCUACCCCAGGAGCCUUGGGCCGUGGCUACAGCAUUGCAGGUGGCUGUGAGGCUGUAGAUGUGGGUGCACUGGUGUGCCAGUCCUCGGUUUGUGCACGCCAGGUGGAUCAGCUCAAGCUCAAGGUGAGUCGGCUGGAGGAAGAGUGUGCACUGCUUCGAAGGGCCAGGGGGCCGCCCCCUGGGACAGAGGAGAAGGAGAAGGAGAAGGAGCCAGACAAUGUGGACCUCGUCUCUGAGCUGCGUGCUGAGAACCAGCGGCUGACGGCGUCACUGCGGGAGUUGCAGGAGGGCCUGCAGCAGGAGGCGAGCCGGCCAGGGGCCCCGGGCUCCGAGCGCAUCCUGCUGGACAUCCUAGAGCAUGACUGGCGGGAGGCGCAGGACAGCAGGCAGGAGCUGUGCCAGAAGCUGCAUGCCGUGCAGGGGGAGCUGCAGUGGGCCGAGGAGCUGCGCGACCAG